rnacentral:rRNA from 1 species
CGUGCCUAAUACAUGCAAGUCGAACGCUGGAGAUCUAGCUUGCUAGAUCGAAGGAGUGGCGAACGGGUGAGUAAUACAUAAGCAACCUACCCACGAAGACUGGGAUAAUCUCUGGAAACGGGGACUAAUACCGGAUAGGUAAUCGGAAGGCAUCUUCUGGUUAUUAAAGGUUAAAAACACUGGUGGAUGGGCUUAUGGCGCAUUAGUUAGUUGGUGAGGUAACGGCCCACCAAGACGAUGAUGCGUAGCCGGCCUGAGAGGGUGAACGGCCACAUUGGGACUGAGACACGGCCCAGACUCCUACGGGAGGCAGCAGUAGGGAAUUUUCGGCAAUGGGGGCAAACCCCUGACCGAGCAAACGCCGCGUGAGUGAAAGACGGGCCCUUUCCGGGGUUGUAAAAGCUUCUGUUGUAA